GCGCUCUGCCUGGGAGGAAGGAGUUAAGGACGGUGACAGCCUGGUGGGUCUCCGAGGGGAGGCAGGUGCUCACCUGGGCCGCCUGCUGCACCCCUGGGCCUCUGCACGCCGUGCACCCCCACCCAGUCCUGCUCAGUGUGUUUGACCAAAGGUGACGCUGUCUCAGUGCACUGAGGUCGUGCCCUCCCUCCUGUUGUGAUCGAUCAUUUAAUGUGACUUAUCAGAAAGAGAAAGAAUUGUUUACUUUUAAUCCCUGAAUCCCAUAAAGGGAGAAGGGGAAAGGCCUAAAGGGCCAGACGCUCGGGGCUCGGGCCCAGGGUGGCCCCUGCGCAGGCCACGGAGCUGGGGUGAGAGGAGGGACCCUGGGCUGGCAGCAGCUGAGAACUGACCCCAGGUUAUUCAAAACUCAGAGCAAACAGAGCUGGAACCCAAUAUGGGGCCUUCAACAAGCCCGUCCUCCCAGGAUCCUUUUCACCAAUGACGAGUUCUCCUCUCUCCGAUUCUUCUCAGCAGAGCUAAGAGAUUUCCAGAGCCCCACCGUGAUGCUCACGACAGCCCUGGAACAGCCAGGAGGUGCAGAAUUUCUGCUCUCCGUUCCUCGGACAAAGGCAAAGUCGGGGAGCUUGUCAGCAGGUGCAGAGGGAGAGGCAAGAGAAGGCAGUGCGUCCCACGAGUGUGUCUAGUGUGGCUGCAUGGGGAUCGUGGCAGGGACUAAGACCAACUGGAACUCAGACCACGCUCCUCCUCUGUGCCCAGCGACACUGCCCAGUGAGGAUGCCACCAGCAUGUCUAACUUUGUUGCCACCUCACAAAUGACAGCAUUACCCUGGGGGCGAGCCAGGGCUCUGGGCAGGAACCACAGGCAGUAACUCAACACAGCAAAUGAGGGAAGGGGUAUUUAAAAGAACAAAAAAGAGCAGGGUUCAAGGCCAUCUCACAGCAGCCAAGUGACUUCCCCGCUGUGCUCAUCGCUGCAGAACCCAGGUCACAUCCGUGGAACUGGUGAGAUUCCCUGAUGACAGCCGGCGACCACAGUGGGUUGUGGAGUUAACACCUCGGAGGUUGCAGAGUUUCCUUAGCAGAGCUGUGGAGUGUGACAAUGGUGUUUGUGUCCAAACUAUCAAACGCCAUUAUCACACUAAAUAGCUACUGCUAGGCCAUCCUUCUGCUCAGUAACCACCUUGACAUCUGUUGUCGGUCCUGCUGGACAAGGUGCAUCUACCUGAGUGCUCCCCUCCUGUGUAAUUCCUGGAUAAAGUCUCAUCGCCUCGUGCUCAUCCCCAGUGCAGCUCCUUGAGCCUUCUCCUCCUCACAUGCCAUUGUUAAACAUUUAGCAGAUGUAAAUUCUUGUUUUCUGGACUCAACAAAGAUAGCCGAGCACCCAGCACCAGGCUAUAAGCACCUGAGAAUCAUUCAGCCCGUGUUUAUUGAGUUGAAAUGAAAAGUUAGAGAAGUGUUUGACUCAGAAAACCAGAGCGGGGUUAAAUCUAACUUACGCAAACCACAGGUGUACAGGUACAACAUUAAGGUGCAUCAUCAUUUAAGAAAUUUGACUUUCUAAUAAACUUACCCAUGGCUCA